CUACGGGCGGCUGCAGUGGGGAAUAUUGCACAAUGGAGGAAACUCUGAUGCAGCAACGCCGCGUGGAGGAUGACACUUUUCGGAGCGUAAACUCCUUUUAUAUAGGAAGAAGAUGACGGUACUAUAUGAAUAAGCGCCGGCUAACUCCGUGCCAGCAGCCGCGGUAAUACGGAGGGCGCAAGCGUUACUCGGAAUCACUGGGCGUAAAGAGCGUGUAGGCGGAUUAAAAAGUCAGAAGUGAAAUCCUAUAGCUUAACUAUAGAACUGCUUCUGAGACUCUUAAUCUAGAAUAUGGGAGAGGUAGAUGGAAUUUCUGGUGUAGGGGUAAAAUCCGUAGAGAUCAGAAGGAAUACCGAUUGCGAAGGCGACCUACUAGAACAUUAUUGACGCUGAGACGCGAAAGCGUGGGAGCAAACAGGAUUAGAUACCCUCGUAGUC
rnacentral:rRNA from 1 species